AUUGACCACUAAGCCUAACCGUGUUACCUCUUUGGCUCUUCUUUCCCUUUCUAUUCGAGCAGACUAUUCUUCCCCUUCCUAUCCAUUCUUGUCUGUUAUCCUACUAAUCAUUUGAGAACUGCAGAAGUUAUGCAAAUUAGAUUUUGGUAAAAAAAGAUCUUUAUUCUUCAAUAAAAAAACAUAUGCCUAUCCAUUUUUUGAG
rnacentral:misc_RNA from 1 species